UACGUAGGGUGCGAGCGUUGUCCGGAAUUAUUGGGCGUAAAGGGCUCGUAGGCGGUCUGUCGCGUCGAAAGUGAAAACCCAGGGCUUAACCCUGGGCCUGCUUCCGAUACGGGCAGACUAGAGGUAUGCAGGGGAGAACGGAAUUCCUGGAUGUAGCGGUGAAAUGCGCAGAUAUCAGGAGGAACACCGGUGGCGAAGGCGGGUCUCUGGGCCUAGCUGAACGUACUGAGGAGCGAAAGCGUGGGGAGCGAACAGGAUUAGAACCUACCGUAGU
rnacentral:rRNA from 1 species